GUGGACGUAGCUCAACCAGGCAGAGCGCUAGGAUGUGGCCCUAGUGGUUGGGGGUUCAACUCCCCUCGUUCACCCCA
rnacentral:tRNA from 1 species